GGAAGAUUCCUUGUUGAGAGUCCCCCCUCCCCCCACUUUGGGAGAGUGGGACUAAGGAGACAAGUUCCUUUGAACCUGCUCCUGAGCAAGUAGCCACAGGUGCCCUGUUCUCUUUUAGACGGACUCCUCGCCUCCUGCUCUGCAUCCUAAAAAGGGGAGUGGUUGUCUUCCUCGAGGCAGCAGCCAUGGCAGCUUCGAGAAGAACUCUUGCACAAAGACUCACCCCAUGUUACCUCAAAUGGCCCAGGUUGAGGGAAGGAGAAAGGAGGUUGCAAAAUUUUGAAAGUGGCCUUUUUCCUCUCCCUCCCUCUGGGCCUUUUAAAGAAGGCUGGGAAGAGAAGCAAAGAAGGCAGUGGAGAAGGAUUCAUCAUUGCCUUCCCCUGGCUGAGUUGCCUGCAGAGCUAGUUGCUGAAUUACUUUUUUAGGAUGUCUAAAAAGUAUACCGAUCCUACUCUCAAUAAAACACUGAUUUAUAUUAAUGCAGAAUUGGAUUUAUGCAAUAUGAAAAAGGUGACUCCUUGAACUGUUAGCUGUUGCGAACUAUGUGUUGUGAGGUGCUUUUGACUUUUCAGGGCACUGUGUCUUCAAAAAGACUAAUUCAGUUGAAGUGACACAGUGACCAUCUUUGAUUGUAUCUCAGGUCUGAAUGAACUUUUUACUUCAAAUCUCC